CCUACGGGAGGCAGCAGUGAGGAAUAUUGGUCAAUGGGCGCUAGCCUGAACCAGCCAAGUAGCGUGAAGGAUGACUGCCCUAUGGGUUGUAAACUUCUUUUAUAUGGGAAUAAAGUGCAGUAUGUAUACUGCUUUGCAUGUACCUUAUGAAUAAGGAUCGGCUAACUCCGUGCCAGCAGCCGCGGUAAUACGGAGGCUCCGAGCGUUAUCCGGAUUUAUUGGGUUUAAAGGGAGCGUAGGCGGGUUGUUAAGUCAGUUGUGAAAGUUUGCGGCUCAACCGUAAAAUUGCAGUUGAUACUGGCAGCCUUGAGUACAGUAGAGGUAGGCGGAAUUCGUGGUGUAGCGGUGAAAUGCUUAGAUAUCACGAAGAACUCCGAUUGCGAAGGCAGCCUGCUGGACUGUAACUGACGCUGAUGCUCGAAAGUGUGGGUAUCAAACAGGAUUAGAUACCCCAGUAGUC
rnacentral:rRNA from 1 species